AGUUGUCGUGAGUGUGAGAGCGGAUCUGGUCGACGCAUGUCCAAGUCGGAUCCUAGUCUGGUCGGAUGUGAUGUUGGGAAUCAUCUACGCACCAUCGUUGAAUAUCCAAUCAAUUACCUUCUGGUUGUGUGGCCAAUAACAGACACGAAAUGAGCACUACAGCAUAUAUUUGAUGUGGCCGUCCCGGCCGAAGCCUCCCCGCCCGAUGCUCCUCUCCUUCCCGAUCGCUCUUCCGAAGAUCUCGCCUUUUAUUCUCUCCCCCACCCCACCCCACCCCCCACCCUUCUCUCACUCUCUCUCGAUCUCGAUCUCGAUCGAUCGAAGGUAGGCUGCGGCAGAGAAAGGCAGGAUUUAGGAUACGAGAACUAGGAAGACUCUGUGACGAGGGAGACGCUGCCGUUGGCUGCCUAAUAUACUGUCGCAUAACAAUAGCUUUGUCCGGGCAUCCGAUUAAACAUGUCUCAGAUGGAUGAGCUUCAAAGGAGUAGGAUUCUCAACUGCGUCCAGGCGUUCUGUGCUGCAAGAUAUACCAGGGAGGACAACGUUCCAUGUCAGAUUGAGGAGGGUUUGUUUCUGGGUUCAGUUGGCGCGGCGCUUAACAAGUCAGCGUUGAAAGACUUGAACAUCACCCACAUCUUAACGGUGGCCAAAUCCCUGGACCCUGCAUUUCCUAUUGACUUCGUCUAUAAGAAGAUUGAUGUGUUUGACACCCCAGGCACAGAGUUGGAUAAGUAUUUUGAUGAAUGCUUUAGUUUCAUCGAUGAAGCUAGAAGUGCAGGUGGUGGUGUGUUGGUUCAUUGCUUUGCAGGAAUGUCAAGAAGUGUCACUGUUGUUGUUGCUUAUUUGAUGAAGAAGCAUCGGAUGAGUCUUUCGGAUGCAUUGGCACUAGUUAGGAGCAAGCGACCACAUAUAGCCCCUAAUCAUGGUUUUCUUACUCAAUUGGCGAACUUCGAGAAAUCUCUUGGAGUGAAUCGAGGCACAAGUUCUAUCUAAGUUGAUCCAAAAGUCAGCAUUCGGAGGUUAGAUUUCUUUUGGGACAUUUUGUUUGUCAGGAAAUAGGAACAUGAGGUUCGCAAUGUAGGAAACUUUAUAUGAUAAUGUUGUCCAUUAUAGAUCAGCACAUGUCAAGGUUACUGUGAAAGCUUUGGUAGCUGGAAAGUUCUCUUAUCCAAGGAUUUCUUGUACAUGUCUUCAGAGAAUAAGAGCAUGGGAUAGAUGGACUGUUGGGACUUACAUGCCAACACCGCAGGUUCUUCACCAAGGGCUAUCCUUUUCUACAAAAUAAUUUCUCACAUAUACUAGUCACAGUAUUGUAAUAUACUUGCUUUGAUUGCAUGACACAGAAGAAAUCUGGCUUCUAAAGUGAUAUGAUAUAUGUAAACAAAAUUGUGUUCUUUUCCAAGUCCAAAUGAUAACACUCAGCACAUUUGUA